rnacentral:rRNA from 1 species
CAGCAGCCGCGGUAAUACAGAGGGUGCAAGCGUUAAUCGGAAUUACUGGGCGUAAAGCGCGCGUAGGUGGUUUGUUAAGUUGGAUGUGAAAUCCCCGGGCUCAACCUGGGAACUGCAUCCAAAACUGGCAAGCUAGAGUAUGGUAGAGGGUGGUGGAAUUUCCUGUGUAGCGGUGAAAUGCGUAGAUAUAGGAAGGAACACCAGUGGCGAAGGCGACCACCUGGACUGAUACUGACACUGAGGUGCGAAAGCGUGGGGAGCAAACAGGAUUAGAUACCCGCGUAGUCCCUGUCUCUUAUAA